ACCGGGCGUUUGAGGAGGCGCGGGCCUGUCCCUCCUGCCUGGUCAGGAGGGACAGGCCCUUGUUGGCUUCGGGGACUUUAAAUUUGAGACCCUGGACAGCCUGUACGAGUCUGUGGACCCCAAAAAAAUCCGAUUUGUCAACUACCUCCGGAGGAAGAUUCCCACACCCGGCACGCAGAUGGAGAACGCCAUCUGCUACCAAGAGCCGAGACAGACAGAGACCUGCUGCUGUUGCUGCUGCUGCAUCCACCACCACCAGCACAGUCUCUGUCUCUGGCCAGAGAGCGAGGACUGCAUCAAAGCCUCUUGGUUCAGCGCUUGCAGCCUUCGUGUCCGGGCGGCGUUCUCUGUCUGCCGUGGAACUGCAGGCAAAGAUCAAGAAGCUGGUGGUCCCUAAGCCUGC